UACGUAGGGUGCAAGCGUUGUCCGGAAUUAUUGGGCGUAAAGAGCUCGUAGGCGGUUUGUUGCGUCGGCUGUGAAAUCCCGAGGCUCAACCUCGGGUCUGCAGUCGAUACGAGCAAACUAGAGUGUUGCAGGGGAGACUGGAAUUCCUGGUGUAGCGGUGAAAUGCGCAGAUAUCAGGAGGAACACCAGUGGCGAAGGCGGCACUCUGGGCCGGUACUGACGCUGAGGAGCGAAAGCGUGGGGAGCGAACAGG
rnacentral:rRNA from 1 species